rnacentral:rRNA from 1 species
AUGACGCUGGCCAUCACUUUCUCCAAGAUGACGAUCUUCACUGGGAUCACGUCUUUGUACGGUAGCAUCCUCCAAUUCGUGAGGCCGGCCAGCCUCGUGCGGGGCUGGGUCAUCGUCUCCUUCUUCACCUGGUUCAUCGGUGUCGUCAUGUUGGGGAUUUCUCCUUCCCUGUCGGACCAUUCCGAGAAUCAGACCUACCAAUAUGAGAGGUUAAAUGCAAGAAACGAGAAUAAGGAAGUAGCUUUCUUUGAUGACGAAGAUACAAAACCCGCUGAAUCCGUUGAUGUCAAGGUGGCUAAUAAACGGCAAAUUGGUAACACGAUAAGUGAUAAUAAUUUUGCCUACUAA